CACAGAGCUGUGGGGGGAGAGGACAGAGCCCAGCCAGCCCUCUCCUCCUAUGUGCACAGAAAGGAAGGGAGGUAAAAAGAAACGACAAGUGUCACUACUAUGCCAGGGGCCUAGGGCUGUCUCUCCAGUUUCCGAUCAAAGAAAAAAAAGAAAGAGAACUUUAUUGACAGGUAUGCUCAUUUGCUGGAUGGAAUAUUAAGUUAAAAACCACAACAGACCAGGAAAAUAAUGCAAGGAUAUUGUUUGAUUGCUCCUGUGGUCGGGAGAGUUAAAUGGGCAUCUCUCAUUCAGAUUUGCACAGCAAGAGGUACCCUUCUUCAGCAUCUGGAUGCUGCCUCCAGUGUGUCUCUGUCAAUCACUUCCACACUUGAGUUAAUAUUCCCCAGAGGUCACAUUACCUUCCCUGAGUUCAGUUUUUUAGCUAGGACUCAACCCAGUCUGCAGGGCUGUGAAGCAGAGGAGAGACAUGGCCCAGCAUGGCUAACAGAUAGCAACAGUGCAGAAGCUGAUCAAGGGAACACCAAGUCAUCGGUUAAAAAGGGACAAGUCUGCCUGUGGAAGUAAACUGGGUGGAAAACCAGGAAUAUGGAGUUGACCGGCCUUGAGAAGGAAGCCGGCUGAGAGACCCUCUUGGAGACCCCCUCACACCCCAUCCCCAUCCCUCCGGUCAGCCAAGAGCAGCCUCCCCCACAAGCACCAUCAGUGCACUGAGUUUGCAGGGCAAACCCAUGCUGGAGCUCGUUCUUGGCUGUCACUCCUCAGAUCUGGAGCUCCCUCCCCAGGACGUCCAUUAUAGCCCAAGCUUGUUUUUGUUGUGUAUUUUAUGUGAAUCAUCUGCCUGCUGCUACAAGUGCUUCUGUCUCCAAAUGCAGGUGCCCUGAGCCUUUGUUUGGGCUGGGAAGGGUGGCACAUACAUCUAAUAUUAAAAUAAACAGAAUAAAUGCAGGUACUACUCUUCUGUGGGUCUAUGGCCCUGCCACACAAUGCCUGUAUUACACUGUUUACUGGUGAAUGGCACCAUAAACAUAGACUGGCCACAGCAGAGUAAUUAUUAUGCUCUAAAAAUGGGUCUCCAGCUACAAAAAGAGCCCACCUACUGCAAAGUUACUGCUUGAACAUGUGAAGCAGCUGCUUCCUGUAUAGCUUUAAUCUGGCAGUAUGGUAGGGCCUUACAGAGCAUCCCAGCAGGACCUUGAGAUGGUCGGCCAGCAUUGGAGACCAGUAGAGACUGGUGCAGUUCCCAGGAGUCCAGCGGAGAUGAUAUGAUUUGGGACUGCUCAUCUCACUGGCCCAGUAGCUCAUGACACAGCUCCCUGCUGCUCUCCCCUGACCUUUGCUCUCAUCCCCCUGUCGUCAUCAAUGAGCCCCAGAGAAGGGAACCUCCCAGG